rnacentral:rRNA from 1 species
GACGAACGCUGGCGGCGUGCUUAACACAUGCAAGUCGAACGGAAAGGCCCUGCUUUUGUGGGGUGCUCGAGUGGCGAACGGGUGAGUAACACGUGAGUAACCUGCCCUUGACUUUGGGAUAACUUCAGGAAACUGGGGCUAAUACCGGAUAGGAGCUCCUGCUGCAUGGUGGGGGUUGGAAAGUUUCGGCGGUUGGGGAUGGACUCGCGGCUUAUCAGCUUGUUGGUUGGGUAGUGGCUUACCAAGGCUUUGACCGGUAGCCGGCCUGGGAGGGUGACCGGGCACAUUGGGACUGAGAUACGGCCCAGACUCCUACGCGAGGCAGCAGUGGGGAAUAGUGCAUAAUGGGCGGAAGCCUGAUGCAGCAACGCCGCGUGCGGGAUGACGGCCUUCGGGUUGUAAACCGCUUUCGCCUGUGACGAAGCGUGAGUGACGGUAAUGGGUAAAGAAGCACCGGCUAACUACGUG